GAUGAACGCUGGCGGCGUGCCUAAUACAUGCAAGUCGAGCGAAUGGAUUAAGAGCUUGCUCUUAUGAAGUUAGCGGCGGACGGGUGAGUAACACGUGGGUAACCUGCCCAUAAGACUGGGAUAACUCCGGGAAACCGGGGCUAAUACCGGAUAACAUUUUGAACCGCAUGGUUCGAAAUUGAAAGGCGGCUUCGGCUGUCACUUAUGGAUGGACCCGCGUCGCAUUAGCUAGUUGGUGAGGUAACGGCUCACCAAGGCAACGAUGCGUAGCCGACCUGAGGGGGUGAUCGGCCACACUGGGGCUGAGACACGGCCCAGACUCCUACGGGAGGCAGCAGUAGGGAAUCUUCCGCAAUGGACGAAAGGCUGACGGAGCAACGCCGCGUGAGUGAUGAAGGGUUUCGGGUCGUAAAACUCUGUUGUUAGGGAAGAACAAGUGCUAGUUGAAUAAGCUGGCACCUUGACGGUACCUAACCAGAAAGCCACGGCUAACUACGUGCCAGCCGCCGCUGUAA
rnacentral:rRNA from 1 species